AUACCCGUUGAUCCUGCGGGAGAUUGCUGCUAUCAGGAUUCGAUUAAGCCAUGCAUGUCACGGGGUCGCAAGACACCGGCAAAAUGCUCAGUAACACGUCGAUAAUCUGCCCUUUAGUCUGGGACAACCUUGGGAAACUGAGGCUAAACCCGGAUGGGAAAUAAUCCCUGGAAUGGGUCUUUUCCGAAAAGCAAUGCUGAAGGAUGAGUUGGCGGCGGAUUAGGUAGUUGGUGAGGUAAAGGCUCACCAAGCCAAAGAUCCGUAGGGGCCCUGAAAGGGGGAGCCCCGAGAAGGACACUGAGAUACUGGUCCUAGCCCUACGGGGUGCAGCAGGCGCGAAAACUCCACACUGCACGCAAGUGUGAUGGGGGAAUCCUGAGUGCUUAUGUUUUACAUAGGCUUUUGCCAAGAGUAAAAAUCUUGGCGAAUAAGUGGUGGGCAAGACUGGUGCCAGCAGCCGCGGUAACCCCAGCGCCACAAGUGGCAAUCGCUAUUAUUGGGCUUAAAGCGUCCGUAGCCGGCUUGGUAAAUUUCUUGUGAAAUUGUCCUGCUUAACAGGACAACGUGCAGGGAACACUGCCAAGCUCGGGACCGGGAGGAGUCAGAGGUAUGCUGGGGGGAGCGGUAAAAUGUGAUAAUCCCCAGUGGACCACCUGUGGCGAAGGCGUCUGACUAGAACGGAUUCGACGGUGAGGGACGAAAGCCAGGGGAGCAAAACGGAUUAGAUACCCGAGUAGUCCUGGCCGUAAACGCUGCAAACUAGGUGUUGCGCAAGCUAUAUGCUUGUGCAGUACCGGAGCGAAAGUGUUAAGUUUGCCGCCUGGGAAGUACGGUCGCAAGACUGAAACUUAAAGGAAUUGGCGGGGGAGCACUACAAGGGGUGCGGCGUGCGGUUUAAUCUAAUUCUACACAGAGAAUCUCACCAGAGGCGACGGCAGGAUGAUGGUCAAGCUGACGACUUUACCAGACAAGCCGAGAGGUAGUGCAUGGCCGCCGUCAGCUCGUGCUGUAAAGUGUCCUGUUAAGUCAGGCAACGAGCAAGAUCUGCAUCCACCAUUGCAAACAGGUCCUUUAGGAUGACUGUGCACAUUGUGGGGACUGCCCUGGAAACAGGGAGGAAGGUGCAGGCUACGGUAGGUCUGUAUGCUCCGAAUCUUCUGGGCUACACGCGCGCAACAAUGGUAUGGACAAUGGGCUGCAACACCGAAAGGUGAAGCUAAUCCUCGAAACCGUACCCAAGUACAGAUUGAGGGUUGUAAUUCACCCUCAUGACGUUGGAAUCCCUAGUAAUCGGACGUUAUCAGCGUCCAGUGAAUAUGUCCCUGCUCCUUGCACACACCGCCCGUCAAACCACUCGAGCAGGGCUCAAGUGAGGCUCAACCAUCUUGGUCGUUCCGAACUUGAGUUCAGUGAGAAGGGUUAAGUCGUCACAAGGUAGCCGUAGGGGAACCUGCGGCUGGAUCACCUCCU
rnacentral:rRNA from 1 species